GCUUAGAAGCAGCCACUCAUUAAAAGAGUGCGUAAUAGCUCACUGGUCGAGUGACUCUGCGCGGAAAAUGUAACGGGGCUAAGCAUCUAACCGAAGCUUAGGAUUGUCGUAAGACAGUGGUAGGGGAGCGUUCCAUGUGGGGUGAAGUCGCAGCGGAAGCAGCGGUGGACUGCAUGGAAGUGAGAAUGCCGGAAUGAGUAGCGAGAAUUAUGUGGGAAUCAUAAUGGCCGAAAAUCUAAGGUUUCUUGGGGAAGGUUCGUCCGCCCAAGGUAAGCCGGGAGCUAAGGCGAGGCCGAAAGGCGUAGUCGAUGCACAUACGGUAGAAAUUCCGUAGCCACCGAACUUUAAGUCAGAGGGACACUUUUGGAUAGCGGAACCCGGGCGUUGGUUGACCCGGGCGAAAGGGAGCGAAAAUAUAGUAGCGAAGUCCGCGAUGCUGAGAGGCGAGAAAAGCUCUGAUGGAUACUAAGGUGCCCGUACCGCAAACCGACACAGGUAGAUGAGGAGAGAAUCCUAAGGCCAACGGGAGAAGGGUUGUUAAGGAACUCGGCAAGUUGACCCCGUAACUUCGGAAUAAGGGGAGCCUCGCAAGAGGCCGCAGUGAAAAGGCCCAAGCAACUGUUUACCAAAAACACAGGUCUAUGCUAAAUCGAAAGAUGACGUAUAUGGGCUGACGCCUGCCCGGUGCCGGAAGGUUAAGAGGAGAUGUCAGCGCAAGCGAAGCAUUGAAUUGAAGCCCCGGUAAACGGCGGCCGUAACUAUAACGGUCCUAAGGUAGCGAAAUUCCUUGUCAGGUAAGUUCUGACCCGCACGAAUGGCGUAACGAUUUGGGCACUGUCUCAACAGCCCACCCGGCGAAAUUGUUGUACUGGUGAAGAAGCCAGUUACCCGCAACUAGACGGAAAGACCCCAUGGAGCUUUACUGCAGCUUAAUACUGGAAAUCGGUAAAUCAUGUACAGGAUAGGUGGGAGACUUGGAAGCCUGGGCGUCAGCUUAGGUGGAGUCAACCUUGGGAUACCACCCUUGAUUUGCUGGUUUUCUAACCUGCGGCCGUGAAUCCGGUCGGGGGACACUGUUAGGUGGGCAGUUUGACUGGGGCGGUCGCCUCCAAAAAGGUAACGGAGGCGC
rnacentral:rRNA from 1 species